rnacentral:rRNA from 1 species
CCUACGGGAGGCAGCAGUAGGGAAUAUUGCACAAUGGGCGAAAGCCUGAUGCAGCAACGCCGCGUGCGCGAUGAAGGCCUUCGGGUCGUAAAGCGCUUGCUCUGAGGGACGAGAAAGGACGGUACCUCAUGAAGAAGGUUCGGCUAACUACGUGCCAGCAGCCGCGGUAAAACGUAGGAACCGAGCGUUAUCCGAAUUUACUGGGCGUAAAGCGCGUGCAGCGCGGGUUUGGUAAGUUAGAUGUGAAAGCUCCUGGCUUAACUAGGAGAGGCCGCUUUAAAACUGCCAGGCUAGAGGACGGUAGAAGGGGGGUGGAAUCCCCGGGUAGUGGUGAAACGCGUAGAUCGGGAGGAACACCUGUGGCGAAGUGCGGCCCCCUGGGCCGUACCUGACGCUGAUACGCGAAAGCUAGGGGAGCAAACGGAUUAGAUACCCGGUAGGCUACUGUAAACGAGGUGAACUCUGCCUUGGGGGUAAAAUCCCACAGUGCCGAAGCACGACGCGAUAAGUUCACCGCCUGGGGACUACGGCCGCAAGGCUAAAACUCAAAGGAAUUGACGG